CCCUGAGGAAGAAGUCCUCAGGCUCCCACCUCUGGAGGAUGCCCAACCCUCCGUCCAAAGCUUUGCCACCGCUGGACAGAGCGCCAUGUUUACAGAAGUCACACUCUGCCCAGAACUUAACUACAGACUCUCUUCACUCCCCUGCACCCUCUAGUGACCAAACUGAGAUGCACAAGAGACCUCAGCAGCUUUUCCUGGAUCAUUUCACUUCCAGACCUUCCUUCCUCUUUUCCUCCCCCUCCCCUGGCUCUCCACAGUCUCCCCGCUCCCCUCUGUCAUGGGAGAGUCCCAAACACAAGCCACAGCAUUCCUACAUGAACCCCACCGCUAGCUCCAUGGCUAAAAGCAGCCGGUCCUCUUCUCUGGGAGACGGUAUCCACUUGAGCACUCCGCCUAUGUCCCCCCGCUUCCCCAAACGCAGAAGGUCAUCUGAGGAGCUGGAGGUCGAGCCUCCCCUACUCAGCUCAUCUCCUGUCACUGUCUUCCCAUCCACUGUCUCAUCAAUAUCAUCCCUAUUAAUGCGCCCUUCUUCAAAUGGUCCAUCCCCAGCUGCUCCUCAUCCAACAGCUGCAGUUUCACCGACUCCUUUUACCCAGAAUGCCCCUCCCUCUCGCAUCCCACUUCCCAAGCAGCCUCUCAGCCCUCGGCGCAGCCUCUGCCUGGAGGUGAAGCCAAAUUCAGGUUGGGCUGGAGUCACAUCGGCUUCUCCUACAGCAGACACAGGGUGUGAUGCUACAGAUGCUGCAGGAGUCAAACCAGGUCAGACACCCCUCAUACUGUGGAUGUGUCAUAUCCACACACAGCUAAGAGUCUAAAGUGAUAAACACGUGUUAUUAUCUUCUUAUUUUCAGCACGAGGUCGGCCUCAGUCUUUAAGUUUGGAUUCUUCUUUCUCAAGCUUCCUGCCCGUGAAGCAGAAGAAGGACUUUGAGAGGUAGAAUAUUCUUGUCACUUACAAAUGUCACAAGCAGCUAUAUAACCUUUCAUAGAUAUUUGUGUAUUGUUUGUAUUUCAGUCUUUUAAUCAUGUGUGUAAUGUAUAUUUUAAGUGACAAGGAGCUGGGCCAGGUGACUACGGCUAAAGAGUGCCCUCUGGUGCCUGAACAAGCAGACUCAUUGAGCCCCCAGCCAGGUUGGUUCUCCUCUUCAUCACCACAUUCCUCACCAUCCUUCCUGCUGUCUGUUUAUCUG
ensembl:lncRNA